UACGGAGGGACUAGCGUUGUUCGGAAUUACUGGGCGUAAAGCGCACGUAGGCGGAUUUGUUAAGUCAGGGGUGAAUCCCGGGGCUCAACCUCGGAACUGCCUUUGAUACUGCAAAUCUCGAGUCCGGAAGAGGUGAGUGGAAGUUCCUAGUGUAGAGGUGAAAAUUCGUAGAUAUUAGGAAGGAAACACCAGUGGCGAAGG
rnacentral:rRNA from 1 species